rnacentral:rRNA from 1 species
AGUGAACGCUGGCGGUAGGCCUAACACAUGCAAGUCGAACGGCAGCACAGUAAGAGCUUGCUCUUACGGGUGGCGAGUGGCGGACGGGUGAGGAAUACAUCGGAAUCUACUUUUUCGUGGGGGAUAACGUAGGGAAACUUACGCUAAUACCGCAUACGCCCUCCGGGUGAAGGCAGGGGAUCUUCGGCCCUUGCGCGAUUGAAUGAGCCGAUGUCGGAUUAGCUAGUUGGCGGGGUAAAGGCCCACCAAGGCGACGAUCCGUAGCUGGUCUGAGAGGAUGAUCAGCCACACUGGAACUGAGACACGGUCCAGACUCCUACGGGAGGCAGCAGUGGGGAAUAUUGGACAAUGGGCGCAAGCCUGAUCCAGCCAUACCGCGUGGGUGAAGAAGGCCUUCGGGUUGUAAAGCCCUUUUGUUGGGAAAGAAAAGCAGCAGGUUAAUACCCCGCUGUUCUGACGGUACCCAAAGAAUAAGCACCGGCUAACUUCGUG